CCCGCUCAGAAACUUAAAGGAAUUGACGGGGGCCCGGCACAAGCGGAGGAACAUGUGGUUUAAUUCGAUGAUACGCGAGGAACCUUACCUGGGCUAGAACGCAUUCGGAAUCAGGCCGAAAGGCCUGCGCCAGCGAUGGCCGCUUGCGAGGUGCUGCAUGGUUGUCGUCAGCUCGUGCCGUGAGGUGUCGGGUUAAGUCCCAUAACGAGCGCAACCCCUACUGCUAGUUGCCAGCGGGUCAUGCCGGGGACUCUAGCGGAACUGCCAGCGUAAGCUGCGAGGAAGGUGGGGAUGACGUCAAAUCGGCACGGCCCUUACGUCCAGGGCUACACACGUGUUACAAUGGCCGGUACAGAGGGCAGCCACCCCGCGAGGGGGCGCGAAUCCCGAAAGCCGGUCCCAGUUCGGAUCGGAGUCUGCAACCCGACUCCGUGAAGCUGGAUUCGCUAGUAAUCGCGCAUCAGCCACGGCGCGGUGAAUACGUUCCCGGGCCUU
rnacentral:rRNA from 1 species